rnacentral:rRNA from 1 species
CCUACGGGAGGCAGCAGUGGGGAAUAUUGGGCAAUGGACGAAAGUCUGACCCAGCAACGCCGCGUGAAGGAAGAAGGCUUUCGGGUUGUAAACUUCUGUUAAGGGGGAAGAGAAGAAGACGGUACCCCUUGAAUAAGCCACGGCUAACUACGUGACAGCAGCCGCGGUAAUACGGAGGGGGCAAGCGUUGUCCGGAUGGACUGGGUGUAAAGGGCGUGAAGCCGGAGAGAGAAGUCAGAUGUGAAAUCCACGGGCGCAACCCGUGAACUGCAUUUGAAACUGUUUCCCUUGAGUGUCGGAGAGGUAAUCGGAAUUCCUUGUGUAGCGGUGAAAUGCGUCGAUAUCAGGAAGAACACCAGUGGCGAAGGCGGCUUACUGGACGAUAACUGACGGUGAGGCGCGAAAGCGUGGGGAGCAAACAGGAUUAGAUACCCUGGUAGUC